UACGUAGGGUGCAAGCGUUAAUCGGAAUUACUGGGCGUAAAGCGUGCGCAGGCGGUUUUGUAAGUUUGUCGUGAAAUCCCCGGGCUCAACCUGGGAAUGGCGAUGAAGACUGCAAAGCUAGAGUACUGUAGAGGAUAGUGGAAUUUCCAGUGUAGCGGUGAAAUGCGUAGAUAUUGGAAGGAACACCAGUGGCGAAGGCGACUAUCUGGAUAGAUACUGACACUGAGACACGAAAGCGUGGGGAGCAAACAGG
rnacentral:rRNA from 1 species